GCCGGGACGCUGAGGGGAGCGGCUCCCCCCGGCUGGUCCCCGCCUCGGCUGAAGGAGGGGAACCGCGGGGCGCUGGGGUGUGCGGUCCGGUGCCCCUCAGGUGUCCCCCAGGAACCCCCCGCCGCGGGAUCCGGGUGCCCCCGGGGUGGUGGCUGCCUGGGUGUGCCGGCGAGGAACCGGGCUGUGCCUCCCUCCUCUGCCCCGCAGCGAGGGCUGAAGGGGAUGCGAAAUGCUUUCGUGUGGUGCCUGUGAAUCUGACUUUUAAAUUAAUUUUGGGACAGAGCAACUGCUAUGGUGUGGUAGGGAGUAAAUGUAAACUGUGGAAGGUGGCGGACGCUCUUGCUUCUCGUCAGCCAGGAUCCUGGAUAUGCACAAGUGUGUGGCAGAAAGGCGGUUUUUCACAGCUUUCUUCAGAUUUCCUAACAGAGGAAUGUCCUCAGACCGUACUGUUGGAAAAUGUGGAUAGACAUUAUCCUGGAAGAACAGACUUCGAUCUGCAAAAGAGGCACACAGAAACCUCACUUUCCCCAAAUGAUUCAACAUGUCCUGAAGAUACUGGAUCAGUCCAUGAGAGGGUUCUGGCCCCUGCCUGUUUUGCUUACGCCUGAGCCGCUGUUUCAGGGAGUGGUGGAGGAGCCAGGCUUCGUGAUCCGAUUCCCAUCAGGACUGUUCCCUGCACACAUCUCUACGCACUCCUGCUUCUGAAGCCUAAGACAAAACUUUGUGAGUGCUGCACAGGUCAGUCCCUGGGACGAGGCAGUCUCCGGGACGAGGCAGUCUCCCAUGCCAACAAACACCUCCGGCAUUUACACACAUUCCUGUGCUGCCAAGCUGACAGCUGCUUGCUCACAUGGCGGGGCUGCACCAGCAAUGCACAACUGUUGAACCGCAGGAGGGCUGGCAACAACCCCCUCCUCUGCCCCAUGGACGCUGGUGCUGCCUCGGACAUGGAGGAGGAAACCUCUGUUCCUGACCUCCCCAGGAACAGCUCACCUAGGGUCCCGGUUUGUCAUGCCUCACCUACCAGGCUAUUAGUGUCAGGCUUUAGCAAUUAAUUGCUGCUGCAAUUCCUGUAAAGGUGGAAAAUACAAAGCCACCCCCCCAUUUGUGUCCUUAACUGCACGGGCCAAGUACAGAUAAAAAAUUGAAUG